GGAAGGUGCGAGCGUUAAUCGGGAAUCACUGGGCGUAAAGCGCGCGUAGGCGGUUAGGUAAGUCAGAUGUGAAAGCCCCGGGGCUUAACCUGGGGAACUGCGUUUGAUACUGCCUAACUAGAGUGUGAUAGAGGGAAGUGGAAUUCCACAUGUAGCGGUGAAAUGCGUAGAGAUGUGGAGGAACACCAAUGGCGAAGGCAACUUCCUGGAUCAACACUGACGCUCAGGUGCGAAAGCGUGGGGAGCAAACAGGAUUAGAUACCCUGGUAGUCCACGCUGUAAACGAUGUCUACUAGCCGUUGGGAGGGUUUGCCUCUUAGUGGCGCAGCUAACGCGAUAAGUAGACCGCCUGGGGAGUACGGCCGCAAAGGUUA
rnacentral:rRNA from 1 species